AGAACGAACGCUGGCGGCGUGGAUAAGACAUGCAAGUCGAACGCGACUUAUCGUGUUAGCAAUAACAUGGUAAGUUGAGUGGCGAAAGGGUGCGUAACACGUGGGAAAUUACCAAGAAGUGGGGAAUAGCUCGACGAAAGUCGAAUUAAUACCGCAUAUGAUCGCAAGAUCAAAGCCGGGGACCGCAAGGCCUGGCGCUUUUUGAGAUGCCCGCGGCCCAUCAGCUAGUUGGCGAGGUAAAAGCUCACCAAGGCUAUGACGGGUAGCUGGUCUGAGAGGACGACCAGCCACACUGGAACUGAGACACGGUCCAGACACCUACGGGUGGCAGCAGUCGAGAAUUUUUCACAAU
rnacentral:rRNA from 1 species